GUCUACGACCAUGCUACCCUGAACAAGCCUGAUCCCGUCUGAUCUCAGAAACUAAGCAGGGUUGGGACUGGUUAGUACUUGGAUGGGAGACCACCUAGGAAAACCAGGUGCUGUAGGUG
rnacentral:rRNA from 1 species